rnacentral:rRNA from 1 species
GACAGAGGGUGCAAACGUUGUUCGGAAUUACUGGGCGUAAAGCGCGUGUAGGCGGCUAUGCAAGUCGGAUGUGAAAGCCCUCGGCUCAACCGGGGAAGUGCACCCGAAACUGCAAAGCUAGAGUCUCGGAGAGGAUCGUGGAAUUCUCGGUGUAGAGGUGAAAUUCGUAGAUAUCGAGAGGAACUACCGGUGGCGAAGGCGGUUCUCGUGGGCCUGUCACUGACGCUGAGGAACGAAAGCGUGGGGAGCGAACAGGG